AUUGAACGCUGGCGGAAUGCUUUACACAUGCAAGUCGAACGGCAGCACGGGGGCAACCCUGGUGGCGAGUGGCGAACGGGUGAGUAAUACAUCGGAACGUGCCCAGUCGUGGGGGAUAACGUAGCGAAAGCUACGCUAAUACCGCAUACGAACUCUGGUUGAAAGCGGGGGAUCGCAAGACCUCGCGCGAUUGGAGCGGCCGAUGGCAGAUUAGGUAGUUGGUGGGGUAAAGGCCUACCAAGCCGACGAUCUGUAGCUGGUCUGAGAGGACGACCAGCCACACUGGGACUGAGACACGGCCCAGACUCCUACGGGAGGCAGCAGUGGGGAAUUUUGGACAAUGGGCGCAAGCCUGAUCCAGCCAUUCCGCGUGCAGGAUGAAGGCCCUCGGGUUGUAAACUGCUUUUGUACGGAACGAAACGGUCCUGGUUAAUACCUGGGGCUAAUGACGGUACCGUAAGAAUAAGCACCGGCUAACUACGUGCCAGCCGCCGCGGUAAAAC
rnacentral:rRNA from 1 species